rnacentral:snRNA from 1 species
AUACUUACCUGGCAGGGGAGAUACCAUGAUCACUAAGGUGGUUCUCCCAGGGCGAGGCUCAUCCAUUACACUCCGGGUGUGAUGACCCCUGUGAUUUCCCCAAAUGCGGGAAACUAGGAGUUAGAAUUAGGAGU